GUGCUCACUCUGGUAGCAUAAAUACUAAAAAUGCAAUAAUUCAGAGAAGGUUGGCAUGGUCCCUAUGCAAGGACAAACAGUUCAGCAAGUGUGUUGGUCUUUGAUGUA
rnacentral:snRNA from 1 species